AUAAAAUAUAAUUGGGAUGGUGCAGUAUUCUAGUCAGUCCUCCUGUUCUGAAGGCGGGCCUAAAAAUUCGCCAAAGGGCACAUCGAUGAAGUUCCUUGUGUCGGCUUGAGGCGCCCAGCCUUGGGUCGGUGCUGGGAGUUAAGGAUUUUGGGCGAUCCACAAAGGCAUGUGGGCGUUGACCCGAUUUCCGCGGAGGCCCAUCUCUGUUGUGAUAACUAAGCCUAGUUAUGAUGAUGGAAUGGGGUAUGAACCUGCAAUACACGGUUAUAAAUACCUAAUGUGCAGCGUAGCCUGUCUUGAGUGGUACUGAGGGGAUUAGGUUAAUCCGUAUUAAAGCUAGGUGGCCACUAGGUUUAAUACGAAUGUCUAUGAAAUCAGUACUGCAAAAGAGACUAGGGAUAGGUCAAAGACUGUUAGAGGAAAUCUCCUAGACUGUUCGAAUGACUUUUAGAAGGGAUUAUAGUGCGGACUAAGUGGUAAUCCAGUCUAGUUUUUGGUGACAAGGCUAAGGUGGAUUUAAAGGGGAACCGCCUUUUCACGGUGACGUGAGGUAUCUGCUUGGGAAAACCUACUGGACCUAAGCCGUAGUCUUAACCUUUUAAGAGACCAUUCCAGCUACAUAUAUU
rfam:Bacilli bacterium VT-13-104 contig005, whole genome shotgun sequence.